CGGAUAUGUUUAUAAGACAGACCUUGAACUCAAAGCCUCUGUUUCCCAUCCAAACCACGAGUUUUGAUCUCAUACUCGAUGGGUUUAAUUUGGUCGGCCGAGAACGGACUGGUCAGGGUAAGACCUUGGCUUUUGUGCUGCCAAUGUUGUAGUCUUUGACAAAUGGAAUGCUCAAGAAAUCAAGGAAGACUGGUUAUGGAAGGUCUCCUAGUGUUUUGAUCUAUGAUCGAGCAGUGGGGUUAUCUCCAUGCAGCUUGUAUGGUGGAUCUCCUUUCCAUGCUCAAGUAAUGUCAAUAAGAGCAAGGGUUGAUAUCGUUGUUGGAACUCUGGGACGUGUAAAGG